AGGACGAACGCUGGCGGCGUGCUUAACACAUGCAAGUGGUGCGACGAACCAGGGCUUGCCCUGGGGCUAAGCCGCGAACGGGUGAGUAACACGUGAGUAAUCUGCCCCGAUGACCGGGACAACCCGAGGAAACUCGGGCUAAUACCGGAUGUGGUGCACGGGUAUAAACCUGUGUACUAAAGGAAGCUUCGGCCUCCGCAUUGGGAGGAGCUCGCGGCCCAUUAGCUUGUUGGUGGGGUAACGGCCUACCAAGGCAACGAUGGGUAGCUGGUCUGAGAGGACGAUCAGCCACACUGGGACUGAGACACGGCCCAGACUCCUACGGGAGGCAGCAGUGGGGGAAUCUUGCGCAAUGCGCGAAAGCGUGACGCAGCAACGCCGCGUGGGGGAAGACGGCCUUCGGGUUGUAAACCCUUUCAGCAGGGACGAAGCGAAAGUGACGGUACCUGCAGAAGAAGCGCCGGCUAACUACGCGCCAGCAGCCGC
rnacentral:rRNA from 1 species